rnacentral:rRNA from 1 species
UACGUAGGGUGCGAGCGUUUAAUCGGAAUUACUGGGCGUAAAGCGUGCGCAGGCGGUUUUGUAAGCCAGAUGUGAAAGCCCCGGGCUCAACCUGGGAAUGGCAUUUGGGACUGCAAGGCUUGAGUGCGGCAGAGGAGACUGGAAUUCCUGGUGUAGCAGUGAAAUGCGUAGAUAUCAGGAGGAAUACCGAUGGCGAAGGCAGGUCUCUGGGCUGACACUGACGCUCAUGCACGAAAGCGUGGGGAGCAAACAGG